CCAACACGCUGCUCCAAGCGAAGGGGACGUGACAGUCAUCAGAGAAUACCUUCCAUCACAGCGGAGAUGUUUGAAACUACUGCAAACCCAACACUUCCUACAGCUGCUGUUUCACAUUAAAAGCCUGAAAACUGUCAAAAACAAGACGGCUGUUAUUGUGAAGAAGCCACUGGAAAAGCAACGAAUUCGUCACAGAGGAUGCUGGAAAGUCUUGACCGAGGAAACCUGGAAACCUCUCCUCUCUUGAUCCUUGUGCAAGGCAUAAGAUAAUAAGAGGAGAGGAAAUCCUGGCAAAGAGAAGGAAAGAUGAAAAGAAGAGGGAAGGGAAGAUGGAGAAUGAUUAACAUAGC